GCCGGGUGUACUGGUGCACGCCUGUAAUCCCAACAGCUUGGGAGGCUGAGGCAGAUGGAUCCAGAGUUCAAGUCAGCCUCAC
rnacentral:sRNA from 1 species